GACGAACGCUGGCGGCGUGCCUAAUACAUGCAAGUUGAACGAUGAUUUCUGGUACUUGUAUCAGAAUGAAGAGUAGCGAACGGGUGAGUAACGCGUGGGUAACCUACCUYUUAGCGGGGGACAACUAUUGGAAACGAUAGCUAAUACCGCAUAACAAUGCUUAACACAUGUUAAGCAUUUGAAAGUACCAAUUGGUACACUAGGAGAUGGACCCGCGUUGUAUUAGCUAGUUGGUAGUGUAAUGGACUACCAAGGCGAUGAUACAUAGCCGACCUGAGAGGGUGAUCGGCCACAUUGGGACUGAGACACGGCCCAAACUCCUACGGGAGGCAGCAGUAGGGAAUCUUCGGCAAUGGACGAAAGUCUGACCGAGCAACGCCGCGUGAGUGAAGAAGGUUUUCGGAUCGUAAAACUCUGUUGUUAGAGAAGAACGUYGUGUA
rnacentral:rRNA from 1 species